rnacentral:tRNA from 1 species
GGAGAGAUGGCAGAGCGGUCGAAUGCGGCGGUCUUGAAAACCGUUGACGGCGCAAGUCGUCCGGGGGUUCGAAUCCCUCUCUCUCCG